GAUGAACGCUGGCGGCGUGCUUAACACAUGCAAGUCGAACGAAGCUGUUGUUUGGAGACCUUCGGGUGGAAGAAUGACAGACUGAGUGGCGGACGGGUGAGUAACGCGUGGGUAACCUACCUUGCACAGGGGGACGACAGUUGGAAACGACUGCUAAUACCGCAUAAGACCACAGUACCGCAUGGUACAGGGGUAAAAACUGAGGUGGUGCAAGAUGGACCCGCGUCUGAUUAGCUAGUUGGUGGGGUAAAGGCCUACCAAGGCGAUGAUCAGUAGCCGGUCUGAGAGGAUGAACGGCCACAUUGGGACUGAGACACGGCCCAGACUCCUACGGGAGGCAGCAGUGGGGAAUCUUCCGCAAUGGACGAAAGUCUGACGGAGCAACGCCGCGUGAGUGAUGACGGCCUUCGGGUUGUAAAGCUCUGUUAAUCGGGACGAAAGGCCUUCUUGCGAAUAGUGAGAAGGAUUGACGGUACCGGAAUAGAAAGCCACGGCUAACUACGUGC
rnacentral:rRNA from 1 species